UACGGGGGGUGCGAGCGUUGUCCGGAAUCACUGGGCGUAAAGGGCGCGUAGGCGGCUUGUCGCGUCGGAUGUGAAAGCCCGGGGCUUAACUCCGGGUCUGCAUUCGAUACGGGCAGGCUAGAGUUCGGUAGGGGAGAUCGGAAUUCCUGGUGUAGCGGUGAAAUGCGCAGAUAUCAGGAGGAACACCGGUGGCGAAGGCGGAUCUCUGGGCCGAUACUGACGCUGAGGAGCGAAAGCGUGGGGAGCGAACAGG
rnacentral:rRNA from 1 species